rnacentral:rRNA from 1 species
ACUCCUACGGGAGGCAGCAGUGGGGAAUCUUGCGCAAUGGGCGGAAGCCUGACGCAGCAACGCCGCGUGUGGGAAGACGGCCUUCGGGUUGUAAACCACUUUCAGGGGGACGAAGCCACUCAGGUUAAUAGCCGAGAGGGUGACGGUACCCCCAGCAAGAAGCCCCAGGCCGUAACUACGUGCCAGCAGCCGCGGUAAUACGUAGGGGGCGAGCGUUGUCCGGAAUCAUUGGGCGUAAAGCGCGUGUAGGCGGCUUGGUCAGUUUGGUGUGAAAUCCCGGGGCUCAACCCCGGAACUGCACUGAAUACUGCCUCGCUAGAGUCCGGGAGAGGAGUUGGGAAUUCCCAGUGUAGCGGUGAAAUGCGCAGAUAUUGGGAAGAACACCAAUGGCGAAGGCACAACUCUGGAACGGUACUGACGCUGAGACGCGAAAGCGUGGGGAGCAACAGGAUUAGAUACCCUGGUAGCUACGAG